UGUUACGUAAGAGGUCGGACAUCACGUGACGCAACUCCGGACUGAUAACAGUUUCUCUGUCCGUGACACAACGCUCCGGUCGGUCUCGUUGUUGGUAUUCACCAAGGAUCACUCUUGGAAGCGGGCAGAAUGCUGAUGUGCGAUCCCCUUUCAUAUUCACUGUUCAGUUGUCUCUGAUACGUCGGUAAUGCAGAACUGAGGUCGCAGUAAGAAUCAGGAGCAGGCGAGGUCACGGCCGACCUCGGUUUCCAGCAGCCUCAUGCUGCGGACAACCUUGCGGAAUACGUACUGGCUGGCGUAACUGGAUAUGACAUAGCCGAAGUGGGAGAAGCCCUCUCUGUUCCCCAUACAGUCGCAGAACAGACAAGGAAGCUUCUUGGCCGCCAGCUCCACAGCCUGCAAUAUGAGACAUCAACGUUAUAUUAUUAUUAAGUAAACUGCUUACAAAAAGACA